UUAUUGUUUAUUUGAUACAUUAAAUGGAUAACUGUAGAAAAACUAGAGCUAAUACAUGCUAAGGCCGCAAGGUUGUAUUUAUUAGAUAUUCCGAUAAGGUGAAUCAUAAUAACUUCGCAAAUCUCAUCUAUGAUGAGAUGAAUCAUCCAAGUUUCUGCCCUAUCAUGCUUUCGUUGGUAGUGUAUUGGACUACCAUGGCUCUCACGGGUAACAGGGAAUUAGGGUUCGAUUCUGGAGAAGGAGCCUGAGAAACGGCUACUACAUCUACGGAAGGCAGCAGGCGCGUAAAUUACCCAAUCCUGACUCAGGGAGGUGGUGACAAGAUAUAACAACGAGACCUAAAAUCUCGAUUGUAGUGAGGGUAUUCUAAAUAGAACCUAUAGUACGAUUAGAGGGCAAGUCUGGUGCCAGCAGCCGCGGUAAUUCCAGCUCUAAUAGCGUAUAUUAAAGUUGCUGCAGUUAAAAAGCUCGUAGUUGGAUUUCAAGGCUUUUAUUCCCUUUUGGGAAUAUGGUCUACUAGUCAGUUUGACUGUUACUGUGAGAAAAUUAGAGUGUUUCAAGCAGGCAUAAGUAGGAAUACAUUAGCAUGGAAUAACGAAUGUAUUUAGAAUCGUGGUUUAAUUCUAAAUUACGAUUAAUAGAGACAGUUGGGGGCAUUAGUAUUUAAUUGUCAGAGGUGAAAUUCUUGGAUUUGUUA
rnacentral:rRNA from 1 species